CCUGCUGCGUUCUGCACCAUUUGGAAUAACUGACAGCACGGUAGACUCCGGAGACUCUUCACGCCUGGCCCCUUCUGCCUCCUACUGUGCUGCAUUAGGUACCUGCCCAGACUGCAACCCUUCUUCCAGGGAUCCAGAGUGAGUAAUGGCUGCCUCCCUGAAUACCAAUUGGCAGCUUACACCAGCCAUACUGGGAAACAACACAAGAUUAAUCAACACAAGAGGAGGCCCAUCAAUCCAGCCCCUGUUGACACCAAGUUGAACGUUGACAUUGUCACCCAUGGCACUGGUCCUGCUGCUUAGCUGUGUAUCACCUGGGAAUCUGAUAAAACAUGAUUGCAAUACCUCCAUUCGCCUUGAGAGUGGCAGCGUGGGAUGUCUUCUCUGGUCUGUGUCACUCUCAAGGAGAAGUCACUGCUGCCUGUGCUGGAUGGGAAGAACUUGUAAAUCUAUCCCCACUGCCCAGUGUGCAAGCUCCUCAUUGUGCUGUGAAGGUGCCUAGACUAUCCAGCUCCAGAAUUAGGUGGGACAUGCAAAACAUCACACUUGAAAUGUACAGGGACUGUACAGGG